rnacentral:tRNA from 1 species
GGAGAAGUCGCCUAGUUGGUCUAUGGCGCACGAUUGGAAAUCGUGUUUACCGCAAAGUAUCGAGGGUUCGAAUCCCUCCUUCUCCG